GGCAUGGGAGGAAUGCGGAGGAAUGGAGCUAGGGAUUUUCCUGCCCUCGUAUUGGACUUGCACAUCUUGGUACUCUUGAGUCUCUCAGCAAGCUGACUGUCCUGUUUCACAUUAGCACAAGGCAGAAGCAAUUGAAACAAAGCCAUCUAAAAUAUUCUCAUCAGGCCAUAGGAUGGACCGAAGUGUCGAAGCUGGUGAUCUCUUGUCUUCCCAGUCUACAGACUUCACCCAAGACAGAGUGAAUGGGCAGUCUCACAGCGAGUUUUCUUCAGCCUUUACCAGCAAACCUAAGAUCCCUCGCACUCCUGAAACGCACAGUGCCAGCCCCAGAAAGGGAAAGAUCCCAACCAUUGCCCCCCAGUUCUCUCAGUCUGGACCCCAACAAAUGAGCCGUCCCAGCUCCUCGGGAUCAUCCACAAGGAGCAGACAGAGCAGCCAAUCCUACAGGAAGUGAGAACAGUUUCUUUCCUCGAGAAUCACCUGUCACACUGCUGAAGGACAGAGCCAGCUUCCUGUAAUGAGCUUCACUGGCGACCUACUGAGAGGAGGUUAUUAACACUGCACGGCGCACGCCUUGCACGGUGAUUCAGGGAUUAUCUGAUGGGCUGCAUCUGCUGUCAUCUCUAAAGCUGGCUAAGACAAGGGCCUUGUUACAAUUGGAGGUCUCAUCAGCUGCCCACAGCUGAUACAGUAGAUGGAUAUAGUCCCAGCGUCUCUGAUAGUUUAAUCUGACAUUGCUACCUCCAGAAAAGUCUCUUGCUCUCUGCUUUCUGUGUCAGACUAAAUGGCCUUUGAAAAUAGUGCGUAGGGCUCAGCACAGGAGUCUAGCCAACAAGCUGUCUUGUUUAGGUAUCUGCUUGCCUGUAACUUGCUCUGUUGUCUUUAUAAUUAUGCUUUUGUCUAUGAGUAUGGGGAUGUCUGGGUUCAAGGGAUCAGCACUAGGAGGGAAAGGCAUACCUGCAUGUGUGGAGCCUCACUGCCUGGAGCAGCUGUGUGGAGUGAGGUCUGCAUUUGAACAUCAAAGACUGGAAAGUAUUUCAUCAAUGUGUGGCAGCUGUAAAACUGUGUGCCAGUGUUCAACGCACCUCUCACUUCUGGGAAUCUGAUCAGCAGGUUUAUCUGUAGUAAUGACUCUUAUUCAAACGUACUUUACCUUGGAACUUGGCUUCCACCGAGGCUGUAAAGCACAGGAGGAAGCACGUGUGUUAGUUGUAAAUGGACUUAAAAAGCGAAUGCUUUUAGGUAGGUACGAGAAGGGAUAAGUUAAAGCUUUUGUGUUGGCGUUCCACCUUGAGAAACAAACAAGAUGAACUGAGCCCAAAAGGUCAAGCAACUCCAAUAGUGGGAAUUACCUCCCCCUUGACAGCAAAGAGUUGUAAAGCAAUGCCAGCAAUCAUGUCCGGAAGAAGGCUUUUCUGUGAUGAAACCUUGAAUUGUUCCUCUUGGUGUGUGGUGGCAACUGAAUAACCAAGGCCAUUUCCUCUCUUGAUGUGAUUGCCAUGAGACCAGCGAUGCUGUGUCACUGUCUGACAGAAAGGUAUCCAACACACGAGUUCCUCUCACCCCCUUCAAUAACAGACUUCAAAUUGGAGUUAGGGUCUCUUGAAGAAAAAGACAUCCUCCAGUCUGAAAUCUGACCACGUUGAUAUGAAACUCGGUAAGUCCACUGGGCUUACGCAAAGCAGGCAGAGUAUGGGUGUUACUUUAAUGCUUGGCUGCAUAGGACAUAAAGUGAUUGUAGGCAGUUAAUUGUAGGCAGAUCUCCCUGGUAAAUAAAUCACAGAAAAGCUCUGAUAUGUGCUUACAUUGACCCACCUCCUCCCCCAAUUGAUAAACAUGAUUAAUGGAAAAAUGCCCUUUGGUUCCCCAAAAGGCAUCAGUAGAAAGCAGCCAUAAAAACUCACCCAGUGGAUUUGCAUAGUAGGCAGCUAUGCUUUUUCUUCUGCAAGGCUGUCUUUUUUCUUGCAGCGUGUAAUAUCAGCGGCCCGGCUGUUAACACUGAAGUGCUAUGCAUGCUCAUCUGCAUCUGUAGGUGCACAGAGCAGCUGAGCUGAGUUUUAAUUCACAGCAGUGCUGAGUUUCACAUCGGAGACAAGCUGCGAGAAGUGUUGGUUCUGCCUUUGUUAGCAGGACACCUCUGCUGGGGGUUGAGAGGUCCCGGGAUGAAGGUCAGUGACACAUACACAGCAAAUUCUGCACCUCCCUCUUAAAGGUUGCUGUAUGCCAUGCGGAGGUUGCUGCCCCAUCCAGCAGCAGCCUGGUGAGUUCCUAACGGGAGCAGUGGAGAUUGCCUGCUUGAGUGAGAGGGGUGUGAUUGCACCUGAACUGCCUGCAGUGUUAUUUGCAAUAAGCAAAUGCACUAAUUGCACGGGGCAUAGAUCUGGGAUUUCUUUUCCUGUAACCAAAGUGCUGUAUGCCACUAGCAAGCUUUCUGCAUAUCUUCUCUAUCUUCGGUGUUAAUGAGACACUGAAUCAUAGGAUAUCCUGAGCUGGAAGGGACCCACAAGGAUAUUCAAGUUGAACUCCUGGCUCCACACAGAACCGCCCGAAAAUCCAACAUUCACUCUGGGAGCACUGUCCAAACGUGAACUGCGUAUGUCUAUUUGCAUUCACAUGGAGGGUUCAUUCUAUAUACUUUAAAACCAUCUGACGAUGACGGUGUAAAGUUGUUUCUCAAGGGAUAU
rnacentral:lncRNA from 7 species